ACACGAAGUGAGUGGCGGACGGGUGAGUAACACGUGGGUAACCUGCCCAGAAGCAGGGGAUAACACCUGGAAACAGAUGCUAAUACCGUAUAACAGAGAAAACCGCCUGGUUUUCUUUUAAAAGAUGGCUCUGCUAUCACUUCUGGAUGGACCCGCGGCGCAUUAGCUAGUUGGUGAGGUAACGGCUCACCAAGGCGAUGAUGCGUAGCCGACCUGAGAGGGUAAUCGGCCACAUUGGGACUGAGACACGGCCCAGACUCCUACGGGAGGCAGCAGUAGGGAAUCUUCCACAAUGGACGCAAGUCUGAUGGAGCAACGCCGCGUGAGUGAAGAAGGGUUUCGGCUCGUAAAGCUCUGUUGUUAAAGAAGAACGUGGGUGAGAGUAACUGUUCACCCAGUGACGGUAUUUAACCAGAAAGCCACGGCUAACUACGUGCCAGCAGCCGCGGUAAUACGUAGGUGGCAAGCGUUAUCCGGAUUUAUUGGGCGUAAAGCGAGCGCAGGCGGUCUUUUAAGUCUAAUGUGAAAGCCUUCGGCUCAACCGAAGAAGUGCAUUGGAAACUGGGAGACUUGAGUGCAGAAGAGGACAGUGGAACUCCAUGUGUAGCGG
rnacentral:rRNA from 1 species